UACGAAGGGGGCUAGCGUUGCUCGGAAUCACUGGGCGUAAAGCGCACGUAGGCGGCUUUCUAAGUCAGGGGUGAAAUCCUGGAGCUCAACUCCAGAACUGCCUUUGAUACUGGGAAGCUUGAGUCCGGAAGAGGUGAGUGGAACUCCGAGUGUAGAGGUGAAAUUCGUAGAUAUUCGGAAGAACACCAGUGGCGAAGGCGACUCACUGGCCCGAUACUGACGCUGAGGCGCGAAAGCGUGGGGAGCAAACAGG
rnacentral:rRNA from 1 species